GUAGGGUAGAGCUCAGUGGUAGAGCUCAUGCUUAGCAGGCAUGAGGUCCUGGGUUCAGUCCCCAGUCCCUCCA
rnacentral:tRNA from 1 species